CACGAAGUCGGAAUUGCUAGUAAUCGUAGGUCAGCAUACUACGGUGAAUACGUUCCCGGGCCUUGUACACACCGCCCGUCAAACCAUGAGAGUUGGCAACACCCGAAGUCGGUAGUCUAACCGCAAGGAGGACGCCGCCGAAGGUGGGGUUGAUGAUUAGGGUUAAGUCGUAACAAGGUAUC
rnacentral:rRNA from 1 species